rnacentral:lncRNA from 12 species
GUUCCCAAAUUGCUUAUGACACAUUCGUUGCCCAGAUACAAGGGCUUGGUGAGGUUGAUCAGCUAGGUCUAGCUGCCACUUUACCCAUAGCUGAGAAUCACAAUCUGAAAACCAGCAAUCUUUGACAAAAGUAUUAUUUCCAAGCACUUCAAGGAAAUACGCUCUUUACUUUGUUGUUUGGAAGAAGCCUGGAAAGAAAAUGGACAAAUGCAUCAAGAUUUUUCUCUUGACCUAAACUUCAGAUAUCAGAAAGAUUGUAAUGAGUUCCCAGGCUAAAAAGUUUCUUUGGUUGGAAUGACUUCAGUAUAACAGUGGAGUUUCAAGUGUUCAUUCUUUUCUCUUAAAAGUGAAAAGUUAUGUGAUAAUAAUUCUAAUGAUGAUAAUAAUAAUGUUAAGCAAGAGCUCAAGCCUCAACCCCUAAAUGAUAUCAUCUAAGAAGGCCAGGUUGCAACCCAGGUUGGCUUUGUUUCAAACCAUCAACUUUCCAUCAACACGUUUUGUCUCUGAAGGCAAAAUCACAGUUUCUGCCCUGUACAUUUUUAUGAAGGUUCUCAUCUCUGGGGAUGCUAUAUUCAAAGUUACCAGAUGUGCAAAUACAGCCUCAGGCUGAAUCUGUGGCCCCAUUAUAAUCGGACUUCCUGUUUUGACAACUCUCCGCUCAUACAAAGAGGAACAGGUAGCAUCUUGAAGUGAAUUCACUGCAACCAUUUGGAAUGAAACCUUCCAGGUGCAGCAACUGACAACUACCUCAAUAGAGAAAAUGACAGCAUUUGAAGCUUGGAGAGUCACCUCGUAAAUCUGCUGUCCCACUUUUAGUAUACAGAUUUUAAUUUAGACUUGAUUUAUUAGAAAAUUUCCAAGCUACUGAGAAAUUAAGCAUGGACUGAAAUGCCUUUCAUCAGAGAAUUAAUGUCAAGAUCACUGGUGAUGUAACAUAGAGAAGAAAUUACAGCUCAAAUAUAAUGAAAAAAAAAUCUUAUUUAAAGUCAAGAGAAUUGAGUUCUAGUUCAUGAGUUGGCCCUGAGUAGCUGUGUGACCUUGGGCAAUGUCCUUGUAGGAUCUCAUUUUCUUUACUUGUAAAUAAAAGGCUGCAGUUGGAGGACUUUCA